UUUUGCGAUAAUAUAACGUCGAUCUCGCACGAUCUCGCACAACCGUUGCGCGAAAAUGACGUGGAUGUGACAUUGCAGACGGUAUUGCGCAUUGAAAGUACGAGACCGCACCGUGCACGAUAAUUAAUCACUAAUUAUUAUUAGCUAAUAGUUAAUUAUGUACUUGAUCACUAAUUAAAUGGAGCCGGUUAAUACUGUCGCAGACUGUUUCAGCAAGACCUCGCUCUUUCAUUUCGUAAGACCGCGCGGUCUCGCACAUAGCCCACGCGAUACCGCCUGCGACGUCACGCAUCCGUUAUUUUCGCGCAAUGAUUGUGCGAGAUCGACGGUAUAUUUUCGCAAA
rnacentral:pre_miRNA from 1 species